AUGUAGGGUACAAUAGGUUUUUUGUUUUUUUUUUUUUAUUUUGAAGCUUGAACCAAGAAUUGGAAUUUUUACAUUCAAUUCGAAAGAACACAUGGGUGUCACGGCUUGCUGAUUCAAUUACUUGGAGGAAGAUUGAAUUUUUCAUUUGCUGGAGAGAAAACGUUGGUUAACAUUGGCUCAUGCACUUUUUUUUAUUGAAGUUUUAUUGCAGCACUUUUUUUUUUUUUGCAUUUAAUGUCUUGAUUCCAGCCAAGUAUCGUCCAGCACAUGCUUGGAACAUUUCUUCUCAAUUUCUAUUAGAAAGCGGUGAUUACUUGGGAGAAGCAAAGUGCACACGGUGUGAUCCAUUUUAGGAGGAACUUUU
rnacentral:lncRNA from 1 species